CGCGUAGCUGUCUAGCCGUCCAAGCCCGGAGCUUCACGCCGCAGCCACACACGGUCCCGUUAACCAGCCUUUAUGCAGUGCCUGUUGUCUACCCAACCCUUUCUCGAGCAUCGGCUCAUUGGCAAAGGAUCGUGAUGCUCACCUGCUGGGGCUUGAGACUCGCUGUGUGACCUUGGGCAAGUGACUUAACCUCUCUGAGGUUGUCUCCAAUCCGUAAAAUACAAUAGAGAUGGGGGUCUCACUAUGCUGGCCAGGCUGCUGCUGGGAGAUCCUGAUGACCUCUAGCCCUGGGACCCAUAUAAGCACCAUCAACAGGAUAUGAAAACCAAACAAAACAAGACAACGAUUCCCUGGAGCCUCCUGACGUGGGACCAGGACUGGUGCCCCCCUGCUCAGCGGGGAGCUCCCUCUGACACACCCAGGGUCCCCUGCCCCUGAGUGCACACGACUCCCAGGGGCCAUGUCUCAUUCCUUGUGAAGUGGCCUCUCUAAUGACAAACGGGAAAACCUGAUCCACUUGGCGACACUGAGUUCCACCCCACGUUGGGCAUUUCUUCUUGUGAGUGACCACCGAGGGCACAGACAUCCCUAACCUGUGGCAACAGCUUGACUUCUGAGCCUGCUUCGAAGCAGCAGAAAUCUCUGUGACGGACAGCAUGCUGGCGCCCCUCCCUGCUGAGUUGCAGCCACCCAGGCCCCUUCCAGCCACACAGUUUCAGAGCUGGGCCCGCUGAAGCCUCUGCCCUCCUCCCAGCCCCCUCCCCGCUCUGUGGCUCCCCGCAUGCUACUGCUGGGGGGCUCCAGCCCGCUCCCCUGCCCUGACUUUGCCCACCCCGCGGGCUCUGCUGUAUUCUGCUGGUGGCACUCAUCUCUCCCUGACUUUGUGUGUCCCCAACCCUGGCUAGAAACUGGGCCCAGUGGGGUGGGCCCGGUGUCAGUCUCAGCAGCACCCCUGGGGACAGAGCCCUGUCUGUGAGCUUGUGACAGCACAGAGCCCUCUGAACCCCAGCCUCACCUGGUCCCCCACUUUGUGGGUGAUGACCGCGGCUCCCUCCUCCAGUUCUGCGUCAUUGGGUGGGCGGAUUCGAAGUGCCACCUGCAGGCGGUCACCAGGGCAGCUGCACAGGCCCUCUUCAUCCUCGGGCCCCCAUCCCUGAAGCCCAGCCGCCCCCCCGGCCCUCUGGCUCUGGGAUUCAGUCUCCGUGAAGAGGCAAAGGCAGCAGCUUAGCCCUGCACCCCUCAGAGUGGGCUCUGACUUCACUCCCACGGGGCUGCCCAUGCCCCCAACAAGACGUGGCUUCCCUCACUGAGCAUUUGGGGAGGCUGGGGCACACGGUGGGGAAUGCCUGCCCAAGGCCUUAUCUCCCGGUCCUGCCACCUCCAGAAGAGACGCUGAGCUCCUUCAGGGGAAACUUCCCUGAGGGGAAACUGUGGGCCUUGCCCUCCCCACUCCCCUAUUCUGAAGGCCAGAUCGCGGCCUCAAACCCACCCCAGCUGCAUAGGAGCUGUGGCCCCAGGAUGCCCGUUUCCCCCUCUGUAAAAGGGACACAGUUUUUUGGUAGAAACAGCAGCUGUGACUGAGGGACAGUCAUGACUGGCAUCUCUUACCCAGCUACAGGACUGGGGCAAGUCACCAGCUCAGCUCACCGGUGUCCAGUUGGCAGAGGCUCUGAGUCCCCCACAGACGGCCUGGAUUGGGCCCGGGGAGGGGGCUGGGGAGCCCGGAGCCCACACGCCCAGGUGCCAGCAGCAUGGGGAUGAGGGUAGAGAGGGUGUCUGGAGGCUUAAGGCAAGAAUGGGGAGGCGGUGGGGAAGAGCAGGCAGCUAGCUUCCAGGGAGGAAAAGUUGGGGAGUAGACUGGGCUGAUAACAGAGGGGUUGCUGGGGUUGCAGGCUUGGGAGGCGGCGGGCAGCGGGCACUCGCAGUGUAGGGGGGCGGGGACAUGAGGGAGGGUGCUCACCAUGAGUGGCUGGUCCUUGGGCUCCAUCUCUCUCAACACCAGCGGGCUGUCCCGGACCGGGGAGGGACCUGCGGCCUCGCAGGUCAUGGGCAUGGGCAGGGGGACGCACUCCCUGCUAUCCCAACAGAGGUGAGACCUACCUGCACUCAGCCCCGCCCCACCUAGGUCACAUCAGCUGGGCCUCGGGGGAGCCGGGCUGGCACCGCUUAGGUGGUUGGGGCCGCAAGGAGCAGGGUGGCCCUCCCGAUCACCUCUGCACACAGGGACAGCAGCCUCUCUCUCCACCCUCACUGUGGCAACCCCGGGUUUCCACGUGCCUCACCUGGUGCACAUGAGCCGGCCUGACACCCACCAGGACGCAGGUGGAGGGGCUGCCCCUCUUCUUUGCAGGGUGGGUCCCUCUCCCACCUUGAGCCCGGGAGAGGCACUGCCCACCCCAGGGCCCCUCACGCACAGACCAGGAUGGCCCUGGAGCUUUUCUCCUGAAGCAGACAAAUGGCAGCAGCUGAAGCUUCACUCAGCAACUUGAGCAACUUGGACUCCAAGUGCCGUUUCCAACGGCAACCAUGCUUCUUUUUUUUUCUGUCACCCAGGCUGGAGUGCCGCGGUGCAAUCUUGGCUCACCACAGCCUUGAACUCCUGGGCUGAAGUGAUCCUCCUGC